CUUGACUGUAGCUUGGAAUUGGGUUCGGGCUCUUCUUGCGCAGCCUAGGUGGGAGGCGUUGAAGGUUUCCUUCCGGGGAAGUUGGAGCCAUCAGUGAGAGACCACUCUGGAGAGGCUAGAAUCCUAAUGGUGAUCCUUGAAUCAGGACACUUGACAGUUUCAGGUGGGCAGUUUUUCUGGGGCGGAAGCCUCAUAAAGGGUAACUGAGGCGCGCAAAGGUCCCCUCAGUCUGGACGGAAAUCAGACAACGAGUGUAAAGGCAAAAGGGGGCUUGACUGCAAGACCUACAAGUCGAGCAGGAGCGAAAGCUGGCCUUAGUGAUCCGACGGUACCGUGUGGAAGGGCCGUCGCUCAACGAAUAAAAGUUA
rnacentral:rRNA from 1 species